rnacentral:rRNA from 1 species
GAUGAACGCUGGCGGCGUGCCUAAUACAUGCAAGUCGAGCGAACGGACGAGAAUCUUGCUUCUCUGAUGUUAGCGGCGGACGGGUGAGUAACACGUGGAUAACCUACCUAUAAGACUGGGAUAACUUCGGGAAACCGGAGCUAAUACCGGAUAAUAUUUUGAACCGCAUGGUUCAAAAGUGAAAGACGGUCUUGCUGUCACUUAUAGAUGGAUCCUCGCUGCAUUAGCUAGUUGGUAAGGUAACGGCUUACCAAGGCAACGAUGCAUAGCCGACCUGAGAGGGUGAUCGGCCACACUGGAACUGAGACACGGUCCAGACUCCUACGGGAGGCAGCAGUAGGGAAUCUUCCGCAAUGGGCGAAAGCCUGACGGAGCAACGCCGCGUGAGUGAUGAAGGUCUUCGGAUCGUAAAACUCUGUUAUUAGGGAAGAACAUAUGUGUAAGUAACUGUGCACAUCUUGACGGUACCUAAUCAGAAAGCCACGGCUAACUACGUG